rnacentral:rRNA from 1 species
AGAAUCAACGCUGGCGGCGUGCCUAACACAUGCAAGUCGCACGAGAAACGGAUUUCGGUCCUGAGUACAGUGGCGCACGGGUGAGUAACACGUGAAUCAUCUACCUUCGAGUGGGGAAUAACUGAGAGAAAUCUUAGCUAAUACCGCAUAAUACCCACGGGUCAAAGCAGCAAUGCGCUUGAAGAGGAGUUCGCGGCAGAUUAGUUAGUUGGCGGGGUAAUGGCCCACCAAGACGAUGAUCUGUA